UAUAUGUAUAUAUUUUAAGCUUUGUCGGUAAAGCUUUGGUGUUGAAACCGUGAAUUGAUUUGCUUCACACUAUCUUGAUCAAGAUAGUGUGAAGCUUUUGUGUUGAAGCUUUUGUGUGUCAAGCUUUUGUGGGUCAAGCUUUUGUAGGUGAAGCUUUUAUGGGUGAAGCUUUUGUGGGUGAAGCUUUUGUGUUGAAGCUUUUGUGGGUGAAGUUUUUGUGGGUGAAGCUUUUGUAUUGAAGCUUUUGUAGGUGAAGCUUUGGAGUUGAAGCUUUUGUUGGGUACCAUGAAUUGAUUUUUCUUCACACUAUCUUGAUCAAGAUAGUGUGAAGUUUUUGAGAAUUUGUAGUUGUCCUCCAUUGAUGAAGCUUUUAUGGGUGAAGCUUUUGUUGGGUACCAUGAAUUGAUUUUGGUUCACACUAUCUUGAUCAAGAUAGUGUGAAGCUUUUGAGAUUUUGUAGUUGUCCUCCAUUGAUGAAGCUUUGUUGAAUUUCCUUUUUUUUUUUUUUUUUUUUUUUUUUUUGGGAAACUAGAAAUUUGAAAAUGUGGGAAGGACAACAUAUACAAAUUUUUCUUUCACACUGUUGAGCAAGAGAUUGUGAUGCAAGCCACACUUUGUAGUAGUCGAAGGUUUGGAUGAACCAUAUAAAUGGAAUUUGCUUCGAAGGUUAAAGAAUUGUAGUUGCCCUCCAUUGCUUCGAAGCUUUUGUUGGCACCAUAAAUUGGUUUUGCUUCACACUGUCUUGAUCAAGAAUGUGUGAAGCUUUUAAGAAUUGUGGUUGAACACCUUUGAUGAAGCUUUUGUUGGCACCAUAAAUUGGUUUGCUUCACACUAUCUUCAUCAAGAGUGUGUGAAGCUUUUGAGAAUUGUGGUUGCCCUCCAUUGAUGAAGCUCUUGUUGGCACCAUAAAUUCAUUUUGCUUCACAUUGUCUUGAUCAAGAGUGUGUGAAGCUUUUGAGAAUUGUGGUUGAACUCCUUUGAUGAAGCUCUUGUUGGCACCAUAAAUUGGUUUUGCUUCACACUGUCUUGAUCAAGAGUGUGUGAAGCUUUUGAGAAUUGUGGUUGCCCUCCAUUGAUGAAGCUCUUGUUAGCACUAUAAAUUGAUUUUGCUUCACACUGUCUUGAUCAAGAGUGUGUGAAGCUUUUGAGAAUUGUGGUUGAACUCCUUUGAUGAAGCUCUUGUUGGCACCAUAAAUUGGUUUUGCUCCACACUGUCUUGAUCAAGACUGUGUGAAGCUUUUAAGAAUUGUGGUUGAACUCCCUUGAUGAAGCUCUUGUUGGCACCAUAAAUUGGUUUUGCUUCACACUGUCUUCAUCAAGAGUGUAUGAAGCUUUUGAGAAUUGUGGUUGCCCUCCAUUGAUGAACCUCUUGUUGGCACCAUAAAUUGGUUUCACUUGACACUGUCUUGAUCAAGAGUGUGUGAAGCUUUUGAGAAUUAUGGUUGAACUACUUUGAUGAAGCUCUUGUUGGCACUAUAAAUUGGUUUUGCUUCACACUGUCAUGAUCAAGAGUGUGUGAAGCUUUCUACGAGUUGUAGUGUUUGCAUUGUUAUAUAGGGGAAAUGUUUAAAGCAGAUGCAAAAGGGCUGAAUAGCUUGAUCUUCGUAUGCCAUGCACUGAAGUUGUUGUUGGCUUGCAAUAAGACUUUGUUGGUGACUAUAACUCUUGUUGGGCAUAAUUGCUCCCCUAGUUCAAUUGUCAAGCUUGAGGGUUUUUAAUUAUUUGUGAAUGCUAGGAGUUCAUAUGUACAAGUUGUACAACUCAUCUUCUGGUAGGUGGAAUGAAUGGUGAGUUGCUUUCAUCACUUGGUUGGUGGUACGAAGGUGAGUUCCUUCAUCACCUUUCAUCACAUUUUAUAACCUGGUUGGUGGCACAAGGAUGAGUUCCUUCUUCCCCUCGUUGGUGGCAUGAAUGGCAAGUUGCUAAAUGAUAUUAGAGUAUGGGUUGUACAUUUCAUCACCUGGUUGGUGGCAUGAAGAUGAGUUCCUUCUUGACCUGGCUGGUGGCAUGAGUGGCAAGUUGCCAAAUGAUAUUAGAGUAUGGGUCGUACAUUUCAUCACCUGGUUGGUGGCAUGAAGUAGAGUACUGGUGUGAGAAUUUCUUGACACACAAAUUAAACCCUCUUUUUGACAAUUGUAGUAUAAAUGUAAGUAGGGUAUCGUUCUAGGCCGGGGAUUAGGAGGGAUUGCUAAUCUAUUCUAAAAUAAUUUAAAAAUAUUAAACAAGACUCAAAGACACAAAAUUAGGCUAAAAACUCUAAUAACUCGAAACACACUUAAAAUGACUCAAAAUA
rnacentral:lncRNA from 1 species